AGAAUGCAUCAUCAUUAUUUAUGACAGAUUGAUAUUUAAAAAAAAAAUGCGUAGUUAGUGAGAAAGGUAAGAGCGAAAAGCAUAAAAGAAAUUGAAAGCCCUAAAGAAAUAAACAAAGCAAGAAGAAAGCAUGGGAACUCCAGAGACUUCAAGGGAACCAUGCCCUGAUCGUAUCCUCGACGACAUAGGCGGUGCUUUCGGCAUGGGUGCCGUUGGUGGCUCCGCUUUCCACUUCCUCAAAGGUCUCUACAACUCCCCCAAGGGUGCUCGCUUCAUCGGCGCCUCACAAGCCGUUCGUCUCAACGCCCCUCGUGUCGGCGGCAGUUUUGCCGUCUGGGGAGGUCUCUUCUCUUCCUUCGACUGUACCAUGGUUUACCUCCGUCAAAAAGAAGAUCCUUGGAAUUCCAUCUUCGCCGGCGCCGCUACAGGUGGUUUCCUCUCCAUGCGCCAAGGCUUAGCCGCUUCGGCUCGCUCGGCUGCGUUUGGUGGCGUUCUAUUGGCUCUUAUUGAAGGAGCUGGAAUCAUGCUUAAUAAAUUUCUUAGCGCGCAGCAGCAGAUGCCGGUUAUCAUGGAUGAGCCGCUUCCUGGAGGGUAUCCCAAUGGCGGUUUUCCCGGUCUACAGGCUCCGCCGACUGUUGAGCCUGAAUCUCAAUCGUGGUUCGGUGGGUGGUUCGGUGAAGGUAAGAAGAAGGAUGAAGCUGCUUCUGCUGGUGGUGGAAGUGAGACCAAGAUUUUGGAGAGUUUUGAUGCCCCUCCUGUGCCCAAGUUCGAGUACAAGUGAAUUUGAUUUUGGGUUAAACGUUAGGAUUGCAUGCUUGAAUAGUGGAUGUCACCGGUUAAUCUUACUGGACAACACAGUAAGGUGCUAAAUGAGAGUAAGAGGCCUCUUUGAGCGUCUGAGCAUGAUGCUUCUGUUAGGAGGGAAGAUUGAAGGGGGAUUGUUUGGUUGAUAAUGCUUCCCCAUACCUGGUUUCGAAUGGUUAUGCAACAGAAUUACAUUCUGAAGUGUCAGUGCAUUGCAGAGUUGGUAGCCAUGCUUAUUGCAUUGGUAAGUAAAUUGGCGGAGACAGAAAUUAAGAGUGCAGUGUUCUAUGGUGGUGGGUGGCAAGUACAAGUAUGUGCCUAACAUGGUCCCCGUCGUGUGCAUCAGAUAACUGUCUAACUUAAAAUGUCAGGGCAACAUUCUUUUGUAGGAUUUAGUAGGUGAUUGACUAAGGAGAGGUGGCUGAAUUUUGGUUGGAUCUAUGGCUGUCUCUAGACCGUUGAAUGUCAAGCUGGAGUUGCAUUUUUUUGGAUGGAUACUCAUACACCUCUCUAAGAGACAUUUCUCUCGGGUGAGCUCUACAAAAUAAACUAAUAUGUUACUUCUUGGAAAGCUAACACAUGUUAAACACCGUACUUAGGGCAAUAUUUGACAUUGGGAGGCUAACCAAAGAGUCUCUUGUUUUUGUGAAGGAAGGUGCGUGAAAGGUAGUCAGUCUCAAGACAAAUGAGACAAGGGUUAUUUAUGGUCUCCCUUUAGAUGUUACUUGUUGGAGUAUGCCUUCCAUGUACUUUUAAAUUGUAUCCUAAUUUGUCCCAUAUAAGAUGCCCCAAUCGCCCACAUUGCUUUCA